UGUGUUUACAUAUAUUUUUCAGUUUAAUCUGAUUUGGUUUAACGGGAUUUGGAGUGUCCCUAAUGAUUGUGCCACAGCUGUGUGAUCACCUGACUUGAUGCUUCAACCAGAGGUUGCACAAAACCACAUCAUGCAAACCUGCUUUCACCCUUGCACCCAGCACCUGCAAUCUUCUAUUCAUCACAUAUCUCAGUAAAAUGAAGACUGCAACUCUUUGCUGAUCUUGAAAAGCAGGUUAGACAAACAUCUGCCAGGAAUGGUUCAGGUGUAGUUGCUCAUACCUUGGGCUGGAAGAACGACUUUCUACAAUCAAUUGCAACGCAAUUUUCUGAGACCUCUAGGAAAUUAACAUGAUGGUUAGACUAUUAGAGGGGUGACAAACACAGCUACUAGCUAGUAGCCAAAAUUAAAACAAAUCAUAUUAAUUAUUCAGAUUUUUCUGCAGCUGUUAAACUUUUCUAAGUUUACCUAGGUAUCACCUUCAACAAGAGAAGACGGGGGAAAGAGAAUGUUUUCCUGUUGAGAAGAGAAUCCUUUUCAACUUACUGAUUGAGAGGACAUGCUUUCCAUCCUAUUUUGUUUGUUAUUUCUCCCAAGGAUUGACACAGGCAGAAAAAAAGUCUAGAUCACAAAUGGCAAUCGGUCUGGUCAGCAAGGACUGAAAAAAAAUGUCACAAGUGCCUUUGCAAUAGAUACCUCUGCAAGCGCACAGCAGGAAGACCAAUAGCUGGGAGAGAAGUACAUCCAUCACCAAUGGGCAGGCACUCCACGCUGCUCACUGCCUCCCAAAACCUGCAGAUGCAGCAGGGAGCUGUGGCUUCCAUCAGCGGAGGAGCUUUACUUAUGGGGACAUGCAGGGUCCAGCACUGAUCAUGUUCAAAUCCAAGUGAUAACUCAGCGAUGGCCCAAGCACCCACCUACAAACACUGCACUCUGCAUGGGAACAACAGGAGACUGCAGUCAGAGGGAACAGCUGCCUUAACUCACACAGAUGCUGGAUAUAAACACAGCAAUUAAUACUACAGAAAUAAAAGCCAGUGUGACACAGUUAUGCAAGUUACAAUGAUCUCUUUUGCAAAAGGUUGAGUCAUGCUAAUUACAACAACAAAUCUUGCUCAUAGUA